rnacentral:rRNA from 1 species
CCUACGGGAGGCAGCAGUGGGGAAUAUUGCACAAUGGGGGAAACCCUGAUGCAGCAAAGCCGCGUGGGUGAAGGAGCGUUUCGGCGCGGAAAGCCCUGUCAGCGGGGAAGAAGAAAGACGGUACCCGACCAAGAAGCACCGGCUAACUACGUGCCAGCAGCCGCGGUAAUACGUAGGGGGCGGGGGUUAUCCGGAAUUACUGGGUGUAAAGGGGGCGUAGACGGCGAGGUAAGCCUGUAGUGGAAGCGCGCGGCCCAACCGCGGAACUGCUUUGGAAACUGGUUAGCUGGAGUAUGGGAGGGGUAAGCGGAAUGCGUGGUGUAGCGGUGAAAUGCGUAGAUAUCAGGCAGAACACCGGUGGCGAAGGCAGCUUACUGGACCAUAACUGACGUUGAGGCUCGAAAGCGUGGGGAGCGAACAGGAUUAGAUACCCGGGUAGUC